UGCACUUUUUGCUCACCUUUUGAUUUCAUGGUAGAUCUCAAAGCAUAGAUAUUCUUUCUCUUUUAUCUUUCUCUUAAAUUGAUUUUGGAGGCCUUUACAUCAUGAAGAAUGGCUAGAGAAAGAGUUUUGAUCAUUGGAGAUUGUUGGAGAGUUGUUGGGAUGCCUUAAAUAUGGAUAGCUCAUACCAGAACUAACUGUCACUGUGUUGC
rnacentral:lncRNA from 1 species